CGGGGUGUAGCGCAGCUUGGUAGCGCAUCUGCUUUGGGAGCAGAGGGUCGCAGGUUCAAAUCCUGUCACCCCGACCA
rnacentral:tRNA from 28 species